rnacentral:rRNA from 1 species
GAUGAACGCUGGCGGCGUGCCUAAUACAUGCAAGUCGAGCGAACAGACGAGGAGCUUGCUCCUCUGACGUUAGCGGCGGACGGGUGAGUAACACGUGGAUAACCUACCUAUAAGACUGGGAUAACUUCGGGAAACCGGAGCUAAUACCGGAUAAUAUAUUGAACCGCAUGGUUCAAUAGUGAAAGACGGUUUUGCUGUCACUUAUAGAUGGAUCCGCGCCGCAUUAGUUAGUUGGUAAGGUAACGGCUUACCAAGGCAACGAUGCGUAGCCGACCUGAGAGGGUGAUCGGCCACACUGGAACUGAGACACGGUCCAGACUCCUACGGGAGGCAGCAGUAGGGAAUCUUCCGCAAAGGGCGAAAGCCUGACGGAGCAACGCCGCGUGAGUGAUGAAGGUCUUCGGAUCGUAAAACUCUGUUAUUAGGGAAGAACAAAUGUGUAAGUAACUAUGCACGUCUUGACGGUACCUAAUCAGAAAGCCACGGCUAACUACGUG